UACAGAGGUCUCAAGCGUUGUUCGGAUUCAUUGGGCGUAAAGGGUGCGUAGGUGGCGCCGUAAGUCAGGUGUGAAAUCUCGGAGCUCAACUCCGAAACUGCACUUGAUACUGCGGUGCUCGAGUACUGGAGAGGAGAUUGGAAUUUACGGUGGUAGCAAGUGAAAUGCGUAGAUAUCGUAAGGAAGACCAGUGGCGAAGGCGAAUCUCUGGACAGUUACUGACACUGAGGC
rnacentral:rRNA from 1 species